AACGAACGCUGGCGGCAUGCCUAACACAUGCAAGUCGAACGAGACCUUCGGGUCUAGUGGCGCACGGGUGCGUAACGCGUGGGAACCUGCCCUUAGGUUCGGAAUAACUCCCCGAAAGGGGUGCUAAUACCGGAUAAUGUCUUCGGACCAAAGAUUUAUCGCCUUUGGAUGGGCCCGCGUUGGAUUAGCUAGUUGGUAGGGUAAAAGCCUACCAAGGCGACGAUCCAUAGCUGGUCUGAGAGGAUGAUCAGCCACACUGGGACUGAGACACGGCCCAGACUCCUACGGGAAGGAGCAGUGGGGAAUAUUGGACAAGGGGCGAAAGCCUGAUCCAGCAAUGCCGCGUGAGUGAUGAAGGCGUUAGGGUUGUAAAGCUCUUUUACCCGGGAUGAUAAUGACAGUACCGGGAGAAUAAGCUCCGGCUAACUCCGUG
rnacentral:rRNA from 1 species